CCUAUCUCCAAGCCCGACCACCAGCCCACAUGGCGAAACCCCGCGACACCCGCACCGCUGCACAUGGCAGGCAGGAGGCAGGCAGCCAACGGAGAGGGGAGCGGAGGUAGAAGGAAUUGAGGAAAGACGAACCCCGCGGAAGCGCAAGCGCAAGCGGACGGCCAUCAUCCGCGCCAUCGCCGGCCGCUUCCGCCUCCGCACCGACCCAGGCGGAUCAGCGAGUUCAUGAAGAUACGCUAGUCCUCUAGCUGAGCCAAGAGCAAUCCUGAGCCUCUUCUUCCAGUCCAGGUAUUUGACAGAUCAUUUGUUGUCAGAACUUUGUAUGAACAGUUGUAAGCUUGGGCAGAGCAAAUACUGCCAUGGAAAUUAGGGCAAGCAGAAGAAAACUGCAGGCUACUGCAGUUCCAGUUAUAGCGCGUUUGCUCAUUUGAGAUCUCCCACUGCCAACACCACCUGAAAAAGGAAGUACCAAUGAAUGUCUUACAUAAC